rnacentral:rRNA from 1 species
GACCUUCUGACCUCAAAUCGGGUGAGACUACCCGCUGAACUUAAGCAUAUCAAUAAGCGGA